rnacentral:rRNA from 1 species
UACAGAGGUCUCGAGCGUUAGGCGGAAUCACUGGGCUUAAAGCGCGUGUAGGCGGAUCGUUAAGUGCCUUGUGAAAUCCCACGGCUUAACCGUGGAACUGCUUGGCAUACUGGCGAUCUUGAGCCAUCUAGGGGCCUGCGGAACAAACGGUGGAGCGGUGAAAUGCGUAGAUAUCGAGAGGAACACCUGCGGCGAAGGCGGGUUGCUGGGCUGAUACUGACGCUGAGGCGCGAAAGCGUGGGUAGCAAACAGG